rnacentral:lncRNA from 1 species
GCAGAAAUCAUGCUUAAUAAUAAAAAAUUAUUCGGUGCUUUGAUAUUUAUUUUAUUGCGGCUUGUGAAGGUAAAUGAUUUAUUGGAAUUCAUUAAUUAUGAAAGAAUUACUUAUUUGUCCUUGUUAAGGAAUUAUUGCUAUUCAUAUAAACCAUGUUUAUUUAAAAAUCUUAUUCUUAAUAUUAUUGACCCAUAGUGAGUGUCGAAGUCGACCUCUCGUCACUGCUUCUUCGAGAUUAGGCUUGAUACUUACUGGGUACACGUUGUUUACGUACUCAUGCUAUGCUUGCUACAUGUUUUUUGCAGGAUCUGAGAUAGGUGUAUUAGGCGGUCCUACCGGUGUGUAUCCCCGUUAUCCUGAGGCCUAGUGGUGAGAUGCCUUUUCUUAGCCGUUGCGCAGCACCUAGUGUCUCUCUUUGUAUUUGUAUUCUUUCUAUUAUGUUCAGACAUUACUUGAAAUUUUAUAUAAUCUACUAGAUGCUCAUACACUUGUUACACCGGGAUUUGGCACAUACACUAGUAGAAUUGUGGUCUUGAG